GAUGAAGAACGUAGCGAAAUGCGAUAAGUAGUGUGAAUUGCAGAAUUCAGUGAAUCAUCGAAUCUUUGAACGCACAUUGUGCCCCUUGGUAUUCCAUGGGGCAUGCCUGUUCGAGCGUCAUUUGUACCUUCAAGCUCUGCUUGGUGUUGGGUGUUUGUCUCGCCUCUGCGCGUAGACUCGCCUCAAAACAAUUGGCAGCCGGCGUAUUGAUUUCGGAGCGCAGUACAUCUCGCGCCUUGCACUCAUAACGACGACGUCCAAAAGUACAUUUUUACACUCUUGACCUCGGAUCAGGUAGGGAUACCCGCUGAACUUAAGCAUAUCAAUAAGCGGAGGA
rnacentral:misc_RNA from 1 species